rnacentral:rRNA from 1 species
UACGUAGGGUGCAAGCGUUGUCCGGAAUUAUUGGGCGUAAAGAGCUCGUAGGCGGUUUGUUGCGUCGGCUGUGAAAUCCCGAGGCCCAACCUCGGGUCUGCAGUCGAUACGAGCAAACUAGAGUGUUGCAGGGGAGACUGGAAUUCCUGGUGUAGCGGUGAAAUGCGCAGAUAUCAGGAGGAACACCGGUGGCGAAGGCGGGUCUCUGGGCCGAUAUCGACGCUGAGGAGCGAAAGCGUGGGGAGCGAACAGG